CAGGAUUCACAGACAUCAAAGAACCUGCAAUAGUGAGAAAAUAAUCAAACUCAACUAUUAGUUGCAUAACAGUACUGUAACGAUGUCUGGAUGUCUUUAUCUUCCCUCAGAGUGUUUGAAAUCAAAUCCAAGACUUCAGGAUUGAGGACCAAGAAAUAAACUCUUUUUGCUGAGCUAGAGAACAAUGGUCUUCAAAGAGGAAGACAAAACCAUCUGAAGCCAGCUCUGCUAGAGUUAUUGUUUGGCUCUAUCUUCUUUGCCAAAUACAGGAACAGAGAUCAUAUUUUAAGGUACUGUUUGCUCUGACUUGCAGAACUGUAUUUCAUAUGCAAAUGUUUUUUUUCCUGGGAGGGAAUAGGAUCAGCCUGGGUCAACAAUUGCUUCCAAGAAUUAGGAAAGCCUGAAUGCAAUAUCACUGCUUUCACCAUUCACAUGUGAUUAAAUCUGGUAAACUAUA